GCGCCCGUAGCUUAUUUGGCAGAGCAGUAGGACGGUAUCCCACGGUACCGGGUUCAAGUGCCGGCGGUCGCU